ACGAACGCUGGCGGCGUGCUUAACACAUGCAAGUCGAACGGAAAGGCCCUGCCUUUGUGGGGUGCUCGAGUGGCGAACGGGUGAGUAACACGUGAGUAACCUGCCCUUGACUUUGGGAUUACUUCUGGAAACUGGGGCUAAUACCGGAUAGGAGCUCCUGCUGCAUGGUGGGGGUUGGAAAGUUUCGGCGGUUGGGGAUGGACUCGCGGCUUAUCAGCUUGUUGGUGGGGUAGUGGCUUACCAAGGCUUUGACGGGUAGCCGGCCUGAGAGGGUGACCGGCCACAUUGGGACUGAGAUACGGCCCAGACUCCUACGGGAGGCAGCAGUGGGGAAUAUUGCACAAUGGGCGGAAGCCUGAUGCAGCAACGCCGCGUGCGGGAUGACGGCCUUCGGGUUGUAAACCGCUUUCGCCUGUGACGAAGCGUGAGUGACGGUAAUGGGUAAAGAAGCACCGGCUAACUACGUG
rnacentral:rRNA from 1 species